UCCGCACUUUCAAGAGAUGGAUGCCCGCCAAGGUAACCCCAGGAUAUCCUAUUAGUAACAAGGCAGCAAUAAAACAUUUUCACAGGACCUAAGAUUUGGCAACCAAAAAGCUGCAUAUUCCAUUAUUAGUAGAAGGACUCCCCUAGAAUCCCCAUCGAUCAUGGUAGCCAAUACUGGAGAAACUACUCUACACCAAGCACGCUAAUACAAAACUUGACACGUCAGGGGCCCGUCACCAUCGUCACGGGUAAAAAACGAAGGGUUCUUUUCUAUGAAAUGCAAUAACGACAUAAACUCAAUAAUAGAUAUCGCGAAAGUGGCUGACCUUUUUUUUGACUGAUGCUUCGUUUGGCUUUGGAAUGGAAAUUUUUGAAUUUCUGAAAACGUUU